rnacentral:rRNA from 1 species
UACAGAGGUCUCAAGCGUUGUUCGGAUUCAUUGGGCGUAAAGGGUGCGUAGGUGGCGCGGUAAGUCGGGUGUGAAAUUUCGGAGCUUAACUCCGAAACUGCAUUCGAUACUGCCGUGCUUGAGGACUGGAGAGGAGACUGGAAUUUACGGUGUAGCGGUGAAAUGCGUAGAUAUCGUAAGGGAAGACCAGUGGCGAAGGCGGGUCUCUGGACCGGAACUGACGCUGAGGCGCGAAAGCGUGGGGAGCAAACAGG